rnacentral:rRNA from 1 species
AGCAGCCGCGGUAAUUCCAGCUCCAAUAGCGUAUAUUAAAGUUGUUGCAGUUAAAAAGCUCGUAGUUGAAUUUCGGGGUCAGUAGGUUGGUCAUGCCACUGGUAUGUACUGAUCUUACUGAUUCCUCCUUCCUGAUGAACCGUAAUGCCAUUAAUUUGGUGUUGCGGGGAGACUGGACUGUUACUUUGAAAAAAUUAGAGUGUUUAAAGCAGGCUAACGCUUGAAUACAUUAGCAUGGAAUAAUGAAAUAGGACGUUCAAUCCUAUUUUGUUGGUUUCUAGGAUAGACGUAAUGAUUAAUAGGGAUAGUUGGGGGCAUUAGUAUUCAAUUGUCAGAGGUGAAAUUCUUGGAUUUAUUGAAGACUAACUACUGCGAAAGCAUUUGCCAAGGAUGUUUUCAUUAAUCAAGAACGAAAGUUAGGGGAUCGAAGACGAUCAGAUACCGUCGUAGUCUUAACCAUAAACUAUGCCGACUAGGGAUCGGAUGAUGUUAAUUUUUUAAUGACUCAUUCGGCGCCUUACG